GGCCCGGUAGCAUAGUGGUAAUGCACCCGUCACAAGUGACUAGAUCUUGUACAAGUUAUGCGAGGGAUGCCUGUUCGAACCAGGUCCGGGCCA